CAGAGGCUGGAGAGAUUGGUGAUCGAGCACUUUCAAGUAGAAGGUUCAGUGAGAGAAGCAGUUUCGUUAUUUGACCACAGGUCAGAGUAUGGAGCUUAAUUUUGUUAGGCCUUUACCACCUGAACUCACUUAAUUCCCCUCUUUCAGUUAAUGAAAUAAUAGUGGGUACUGAAGAGACAAAGCCAGUGAGAUCCCUUUAACAAUUUUUCAUGUUGUCAAUGAUUUUGAAUUUGGUCGGUAUUAAAUAAUCAUAUCUGGUUUAUUGCUCAGAUUGUUAAAAUUUCCUCAUGAUCAUCAUAUGCAAGUUUUGGUCUGUUUCUAUCUUUAGGAACAAUGUAAAGGUUUGGCAGAGUUACUGAACUACGCUUCAUGUCUGCUUCACCUAUCAGUUUUUGCAAUACUUGAGGUCAAAACCGGGGAUUGUGAUACUUUUGUAGCAGGACUAGAGUUUGGAGUGAUGGGGUGUCUACUUUUGCAGCAGAGUUCAAUGCAAUGAAUCCUUGGAGAGCCUAUGUCUAUGCUAUCAUCACAAAAUGUGUCUCAUUUUCUGCUGGCAUCUUAAUGUACUGAGUUCGUCCUAAUUUUACAUGACAAAAAGAAACUCAGAAAUUCACAGAAAUGGGGGUGGGGGUGUGAAGAGAUUUUAAAGCUGAUCAAAAGCCUGGUCACAGAACAUGAACCUGGUGCUAAUUCAUCACAAUAGAGGUUUCGUAACUUGUCCAUUCUCAAUUUCCCAUGGUGUGAUGUGUAAAGAUUAUAACACAUUAGAUUGACAGUUGAAAUCAUCAUAAAAAGCAGACGUGCACUGAAAUACAGGAAGAAUAACCAGAAGAAGAAGUGAACCUGAAAGUUUUCUGCAUGUACUUCACCAGAAGGCACUGCAAACACAAAAACAUGAAGGGCUAUAAUGACUAGGACUCUGCUUCAAACAUGAUAUUUGUGAAGCCUAGAUCAAGACACCUGCAAAUUGCCCAUCGAAAACACAUUGCUUCUGCAAUGACAGGUUGUGACAAAAUUUACCUUGACUCCUCCCAUAUCAGUUCGCGACGAGCAUUGCAGAAAUUGAUUUGCUGCUGCGGACUUGUGCAUAUGAGAGGAAACAACUGGUGCGGAACAUGCAGAUAGACCAAGUUGAAUUGUUUGUUGAAUAAUAUUCGAUUGUGUCGCAUCCCCACAGCCCAAAUGAAUUCUAUAUGUGUGCUAACAGUUUCCACAUCGUCUAAUUGAAGCAGAUUAUCAACCCGGGAAGGGUUUCUACCACAGUUAAUUAACAGCACAUCAUAAUUUGAGUACGUUAAUAACUAGUGUUGAGAUAAGCAAAAAAAAUCAAAAUUUGAGUAAGGUCAAGUUCGUGAUCAUUGAAUGUUCCAUCCACAUUGGGCCAUUUGGUAGUAGAUAUUUCUCUCACAUGGUUUUUGCAAUUGCAUCAUAUAACUGCAAGUUUAACCGCAUAAGUUUAUGAUUUUCUGCAACUGCAAUUUAAUCCUUGAUUCUCUAUAGUCUUUUGAUUUGGUUUAAUUAGGAUUACAACAUGCAUCGCAGUAUUAAAAGCCUACUACCCCUUUCCACCAAAUCUCCCCCCAAAAGAAAAUUUAAUAAAUCCUACAAUUGAAUUAACUCAGAGGCACAUUUAUUUGCCCGUGCUUUAUUCAUAAUUCAGAUUCAGAUUGCUUGCUUGCUCCCAUCAGAACAAAACCAAAUAUAA